rnacentral:tRNA from 1 species
AGCGUAGCUCAGCGGGUAGAGCUACUGAUUUGUAAUCAGUGGGUCGGGGGUUCGAGUCCCUCCGCU